rnacentral:rRNA from 1 species
GACGAACGCUGGCGGCGUGCUUAACACAUGCAAGUCGAACGGUAAGGCCCUUCGGGGUACACGAGUGGCGAACGGGUGAGUAACACGUGGGUGAUCUGCCCUGCACCCCGGGAUAAGCCUGGGAACCUGGGUCUAAUACCGUAUAUGACCCUGUGAUGCAUGUCCUGGGGGGGAAAGCGUUUGCGGUGCGGGAUGGGCCCGCGGCCUAUCAGCUUUGUGGUGGGGUGAUGGCGUACAAAGGCGACGACGGGUAGCCGGCCUGAGAGGGUGACCGGCCACACUGGGACUGAGAUACGGCCCAGACUCCUACGGGAGGCAGCAGUGGGGAAUAUUGCACAAUGGGCGCAAGCCUGAUGCAGCGACGCCGCGUGGGGGAUGACGGCCUUCGGGUUGUAAACCUCUUUCAGCACCGACGAAGCGCAAGUGACGGUAGGUGCAGAAGAAGGACCGGCCAACUACGUGCCAGCCGCCGCAGUAA